rnacentral:rRNA from 1 species
CCUACGGGAGGCAGCAGUGGGGAAUAUUGCACAAUGGGCGAAAGCCUGAUGCAGCAACGCCGCGUGAAGGAAGAAGGCCUUCGGGUCGUAAACUUCUGUCCUUGGGGAAGAAGAACUGACGGUAUGCAAGGAGGAAGCCCCGGCUAACCACGUGCCAGCAGCCGCGGUAAUACGUAGGGGGAAAGCGUUAUCCGGAAUUAGUGGGCGUAAAGAGUACGGAGGUGGUAACCUAAGCGGAGGGUGUAAGGCAAGGGCUCAACCCAUGUUCGCCCUGCGAACUGGGAUGCUUGAGUGCAGGAGAGGAAAGCGGAAGUCCUAGUGUAGCGGUGAAAUGCGUAGAUAUUAGGAGGAACACCAGUGGCGAAGGCGGCUUUCUGGACUGUAACUGACACUGAGGUACGAAAGCGUGGGGAGCAAACAGGAUUAGAUACCCGAGUAGUC